AUACCAUGAUGAGGGCAUUUCUGUAAUAAUUCCUUAAAUAGUUCCCACACCUCAUACAAGGACUUAUCAUAAGAUUGCUGAAACAUAGUAAUUUCAUUUUUGAGUUU
rfam:Gossypium hirsutum cultivar TM-1 chromosome 15, whole genome shotgun sequence